rnacentral:rRNA from 1 species
UACGGGGGGAGUAAGCGUUGUUCGGAUUUACUGGGCGUAAAGGGCGCGUAGGCGGCCACGACAAGUCACUUGUGAAAUCUCCGGGCUUAACUCGGAAAGGUCAAGUGAUACUGUCGGGCUAGAGUACAGAAGGGGCAACUGGAAUUCUCGGUGUAGCGGUGAAAUGCGUAGAUAUCGAGAGGAACACCUGCGGCGAAGGCGGGUUGCUGGGCUGAUACUGACGCUGAUGCGCGAAAGCCAGGGGAGCGAACGGG